UAUAAAAGGGAGAGGACUAAUUCAUCAAUUUGGAGAGUUGAAGAAACAAAGAAAAAAAGAAGACACUUUGGAAGAAAAACAAAGGGCCAAUUUCGGCCAAGCUUGGAGGAAACAAGAACCUUGGAAAAAUUUCUCAAAAAUUACUCUCUACUAAUUGGAAGGUCCCUAGCAAGGAGAAGAGGUCAUUGGAACAAGUAGAACAUUUAUUGUUGCAAGAUCAACAUUCUAGCCAAGUGGGAAAUUGAAGAAAAAGGAUUUUGGCGGAUUUGGAACGUGAAUUUGGAGUCGCAUAAGAAGCAGAAAAGGUACACCAGAUGAGCCACAGCUAUCAUAGAAGGUGUUCCAGCGGAGUUGGCAGGCUCCACUUGUUCUGGAGUGCUGCCGAGUCAGAGUAUCUGAGCCAUGAUGUUUGUUUGAUGUUAGAGACUUUGCAGACAGAGUCGUGGGUAUAGAGUGUCGAUAAUAUGUUGUAUCAUAAAGUCCAUGUGAUUGCAGAUUCUGUUUGACUUGAGGACGAUGGAAAAAAAAAUCUCUUGAAAUUUUUGCUAUGUUUUCCAUUUUUAUUGAUAUAAGAGUCUGAGGAAGUUAAGUAUGUAACAAGAGUCAGCGGGUUCGCUCGGCUCCAGAUAUGGGGUCGGGUGCCCAUCACACCCUAGUAAAGUCGGGGUGUGACACCUAGUCAUGCAGAUGUGCAACGUAUUGGCCCAGAAGUCAAGCUCGCCAACUGGGAAGCUACUCCUCUCCCCACAAGGAAGGAGUCUUGGUAGUUUAUUUUGCUGUUUUUUUUUUCUAUAUUUGGAUUAUUCUCUGGGUGGUAAUCCAAAUAGUUUAGUUGCUAUGCUUUAAUGUUAACCCUUCUA